rnacentral:tRNA from 1 species
CAAACGGUCGAGAGUAUUCCGGCCUUUCGAGUCGGAGACGCGGGAUCGAAUCCCGCCCGGGGCA